rnacentral:rRNA from 1 species
GAUGAACGCUGGCGGCGUGCCUAAUACAUGUAAGUCGAGCGAACAGACGAGGAGCUUGCUCCUCUGACGUUAGCGGCGGACGGGUGAGUAACACGUGGAUAACCUACCUAUAAGACUGGGAUAACUUCGGGAAACCGGAGCUACUACCGGAGAAUAUAUUCAACCGCAUGGUUCAAUAGUGAAAGACGGUUUUGCUGUCACUUAUAGAUGGAUCCGCGCCGCAUUAGCUAGUUGGUAAGGUAACGGCUUACCAAGGCAACGAUGCGUAGCCGACCUGAGAGGAUGAUCGGCCACACUGGAACUGAGACACGGUCCAGACUCCUACGGGAGGCAGCAGUGGGGAAUCUUCGGCAAUGGGCGAAAGCCUGACGGAGCAACGCCGCGUGAGUGAUGAAGGUCUUCGGGUCGUAAAGCUCUGUUAUUAGGGAAGAACAAAUGUGUAAGUAACUAUGCACGUCUUGACGGUACCUAAUCAGAAAGCCACGGCUAACUACGUG